rnacentral:lncRNA from 10 species
CGGGCCUCUCUCCUUCUCUCUCUCCCCUUCUCUCCAUCAUUUUUCUUUCGUUUAUUUCUUCCUUUCUCCAAUGUCCUUCCUUUCUUUAAUCAGAUUGAGGUCUUUGGCAGGCUAUUUUGCCAGAGUCCUUCAGGGGACAGCGAGGCCCUGUCCUCACGGAGCAGAGUGGGCAGUGCGGCCACGUGCUGGGCUGUGAACUGUUCUUGGCACCUACUGUGGGGACCAGCAGAGACCCCAGUCCCCAGAGGCUCCAUAUGGGCCUGUUCUGCCUCCAAGUUUAUGUGGGCAGGAUGCUGGGAUCAUGACAGCCUGGCCUUUUCUCCUCAUGCCAGUCUAGUUUUAUUGGUGGGAGAGGAGAGUGUGUGUGUGUGUGUGUGUGUGUGUGUGUGUGUGUGUGUGUGUGUGUGUGUGUUGGGGAAGGGGUGGUGAGCAAGGUCAGAGGAAAAUAAGUCAAUGGGGUCAUCAUUCAUGCAGAACACUUUUUCAACUUAAAUAUUAAUUUUAUCAGAUUUGUCUAAGAUGACAGAGUUUUUGUUUGGGUGAAAGGAGGUUUCAUAUUUCCUAGAUUCAUAAUCCACUUAGGAAAAAGGAGGGGGGAUGCACGGAGUUAGCACAUAUUAAGUGCCUGCUGUAGUCAAGCCCUGUUGGACACCAGGGACAUCUGGACCUUGACAACGGAGCGAAGGGGUGGUCCUGCCUGCACCAGGUUUCAGACUGUGGGUUCUCUCAACAGGGUGAACAUGAAAAAUAGAAGCCUCCAGUUUCUCCUGAUAGUGUAUAGAUGGGCAGAUCUGGCCUCAAUGGCAGAAGAUACUUGGGGAACUGGAGAAAGUACAGAAGGUGAUGUGAAAUCAAUUGGGUCAUCAAAAGAAGACGGGUGUACCACAAUUUGUUCCUCCACCUGCUGCCCAUGAACAUUUGGAGGGUUUCUAGUUUUUGGCUAUUACAAAUAAAGUUGUCAUGAACAUUUGCAUACAAAU